UGGAGAAUCUUCCGCAAUGGACGAAAGUCUGACGGAGCAACGCCGCGUGAGUGAUGACGGCCUUCGGGUUGUAAAGCUCUGUUAAUCGGGACGAAAGGCCUUCUUGCGAAUAGUGAGAAGGAUUGACGGUACCGGAAUAGAAAGCCACGGCUAACUACGUGCCAGCAGCCGCGGUAAUACGUAGGUGGCAAGCGUUGUCCGGAAUUAUUGGGCGUAAAGCGCGCGCAGGCGGAUAGGUCAGUCUGUCUUAAAAGUUCGGGGCUUAACCCCGUGAUGGGAUGGAAAAUGCCAAUCUAGAGUAUCGGAGAGGAAAGUGGAAUUCCUAGUGUAGCGGUGAAAUGCGUAGAUAUUAGGAAGAACACCAGUGGCGAAGGCGACUUUCUGGACGAAAACUGACGCUGAGGCGCGAAAGCCAGGGGAGCGAACGGG
rnacentral:rRNA from 1 species